rnacentral:tRNA from 1 species
GCGGCCGUGGCGGAACGGCAGACGCGCUAGGUUGAGAGGCCUAGUGGGAGUAUUCCCGUGGAGGUUCAAAUCCUCUCGGCCGCA